rnacentral:tRNA from 1 species
GGGCAACUAGCUCAGCUGGUUAGAGCACUAUCCUCACACGGUAGGGGUCGCUGGUUCGAGCCCAGCGUUGCCCA